rnacentral:rRNA from 1 species
AUUGAACGCUGGCGGCAUGCUUUACACAUGCAAGUCGAACGGUAACAGGCCGCAAGGUGCUGACGAGUGGCGCACGGGUGAGUAAUGCAUCGGAACGUGCCCAGUCGUGGGGGAUAACUACUCGAAAGAGUAGCUAAUACCGCAUACGAUCUAUGGAUGAAAGCGGGGGACCGUAAGGCCUCGCGCGAUUGGAGCGGCCGAUGUCAGAUUAGGUAGUUGGUGGGGUAAAGGCUCACCAAGCCAACGAUCUGUAGCUGGUCUGAGAGGACGACCAGCCACACUGGGACUGAGACACGGCCCAGACUCCUACGGGAGGCAGCAGUGGGGAAUUUUGGACAAUGGGCGCAAGCCUGAUCCAGCAAUGCCGCGUGCAGGAAGAAGGCCUUCGGGUUGUAAACUGCUUUUGUACGGAAAGAAACGGCUCUGGUUAAUACCCGGGGCUAAUGACGGUACCGUAAGAAUAAGCACCGGCUAACUACGUG